UGCCCAGCAACUCCUAUCCCUACCUCCUCGUGGUACCGGUCGGAAACUACGAGCCACCAUGGGGAAGAUCGGGUAACCAACCCCGGUGGGAACUUUGGUCGCAGGCUGACAGGGAAGA
rnacentral:ribozyme from 1 species